rnacentral:rRNA from 1 species
AUUGAACGCUGGCGGCAUGCCUUACACAUGCAAGUCGAACGGCAGCACGGGUGCUUGCACCUGGUGGCGAGUGGCGAACGGGUGAGUAAUACAUCGGAACAUGUCCUGUAGUGGGGGAUAGCCCGGCGAAAGCCGGAUUAAUACCGCAUACGAUCCACGGAUGAAAGCGGGGGACCUUCGGGCCUCGCGCUAUAGGGUUGGCCGAUGGCUGAUUAGCUAGUUGGUGGGGUAAAGGCCUACCAAGGCGACGAUCAGCAGCUGGUCUGAGAGGACGACCAGCCACCCUGGAACUGGGCCAGGGCCCAGACUCCUACGGGAGGCAGCAGUGGGGAAUUUUGGACAAUGGGCGAAAGCCUGAUCCAGCAAUGCCGCGUGUGUGAAGAAGGCCUUGGGGUUGUAAAGCCCUUUUGUCCGGAAAGAAAUCCUUGGCUCUAAUACAGUCGGGGGAUGACGGUACCGGAAGAAUAAGCACCGGCUAACUACGUG